CAGAGUUCAUGCCCUUCGGGGUAGACCUCCACCCUUGCAUACCUUACCUUUGUUGCUUUGGCGGCCCGCCUCACCUUGUGUGAGGCCACUGGUCUUGGCCGGUGCGUGACCGUCGAAGGUUAUCAACUCUAUAAUUUAUGUCGUCUGAGUACUAUAAAAUAGUUA
rnacentral:misc_RNA from 1 species